UUACUGUGCACGCGGUCAGACUGUGGA
rnacentral:piRNA from 1 species